GUACUCGCUUUGGCAGCACAUAUAUUAAAAUAGGAAUGAUACAGAGAAGAUCAGCACGGCCCCUGCACAAGGGUGACAUGCAACUUCAUGAAGCAUUCCAUAUUUUU
ensembl:snRNA U6 U6 spliceosomal RNA